UACGUAGGAGGCAAGCGUUGUCCGGAUUUACUGGGCGUAAAGCGCGCGCAGGCGGCCGUGCAAGUAAGGUGUGAAAUCUCCCUGCUCAACGGGGAGGGUGCAUUUUAGACUGCACAGCUAGAGGUCGGUAGAGGGGGGUGGAAUUGCUGGUGUAGCGGUGAAAUGCGUAGAGAUCAGCAGGAACACCCGUGGCGAAGGCGGCCCCCUGGGCCGUACCUGACGCUGAGGCGCGAAGGCUAGGGGAGCGAACGGG
rnacentral:rRNA from 1 species